GGAAAUAUAGCUCAGUGUUAGAGUGCUUGCCUAGCAUGUACAAGGACCUGGGUUCAAUCCCCAGAAUCUCUC
rnacentral:tRNA from 1 species